UACGGAGGAUGCAAGCGUUAUCCGGAAUGAUUGGGCGUAAAGCGUCCGCAGGUGGCAACGUAAGUCUGCUGUUAAAGAGUCUAGCUCAACUAGAUAAAAGCAGUGGAAACUACAUAGCUAGAGUACGUUCGGGGCAGAGGGAAUUCCUGGUGUAGCGGUGAAAUGCGUAGAGAUCAGGAAGAACACCAGUGGCGAAGGCGCUCUGCUAGGCCGUAACUGACACUGAGGGACGAAAGCUAGGGGAGCGAAUGGG
rnacentral:rRNA from 1 species